rnacentral:sRNA from 1 species
CAGCACAGGUAGAGCACAGGCAGUGACAGUGCAAGCUUUCCCCACACUACCCUCUCGAUGUGUCUCACCCCUGACCUGGAGCGACCACGUCUAGA